CCUACGGGUGGCAGCAGUCGAGAAUCAUUCUCAAUGGGGGAAACCCUGAUGGUGCGACGCCGCGUGGGGGAAUGAAGGUCUUCGGAUUGUAACCCCCUGUCAUGUGGGAGCAAAUUAAAAAGAUCGUACCACAAGAGGAAGCGACGGCUAACUCUGUGCCAGCAGCCGCGGUAAUACAGCGGUCUCAAGCGUUGUUCGGAAUCACUGGGCGUAAAGCGUGCGUAGGCUGUUUGGUAAGUAGUGUGUGAAAGGCGGGGGCUUAAACCGCGAACGGCACAUGAUACUGCGAGCCUAGAGUAAUGGAGGGGUAAGCGGAAUUCUCGGUGUAGCGGUGAAAUGCGUAGAUAUCGAGAGGAACACUCGUGGCGAAGGCGAGUUCCUGGACAUUAACUGACGCUGAGGCACGAAGGCCAGGGGAGCGAAAGGGAUUAGAUACCCUAGUAGUC
rnacentral:rRNA from 1 species